rnacentral:rRNA from 1 species
GACGAACGCUGGCGGCGUGCUUAACACAUGCAAGUCGAACGGAAAGGCCCCUUUGGGGGUACUCGAGUGGCGAACGGGUGAGUAACACGUGAGUAACCUGCCCUUGACUUCGGGAUAACUUCAGGAAACUGGGGCUAAUACCGGAUAGGAAUCCUUGCUGCAUGGUGGGGGUUGGAAAGCUUCGGCGGUUGUGGAUUGAGUCGAGGCCUAGCAGCGUGUUGGUGGGGUAGGGGCUUAGCAAGGCUUUGACGGGGAGCCGGACUGGGAGGGCGACCGGCAACAGUGGGACUGGGACACGGCCCAGGCCCCUACGGGAGGGAGCAGUGGGGAAUGUUGAACAAUGGGCGUAAGCCUGAUGCAGCACCGCCGCGUGCGGGAUGACGGCGUUGGCGUUGUAAACCGCUUUCAGCAGUGGCGAAGCUUGUGGUGACGGUACCUGCAGAAGAAGCACCGGCUAACUACGUG